GACGAACGCUGGCGGCGUGCUUAACACAUGCAAGUCGAACGCUGAAGCUCAGCUUGCUGGGUGGAUGAGUGGCGAACGGGUGAGUAACACGUGAGUAACCUGCCCCCUUCUUUGGGAUAACGCCCGGAAACGGGUGCUAAUACUGGAUAUUCACUGAUCUUCGCAUGGGGGUGGGUGGAAAGGUUUGUUCUGGUGGGGGAUGGGCUCGCGGCCUAUCAGCUUGUUGGUGGGGUGAUGGCCUACCAAGGCUUUGACGGGUAGCCGGCCUGAGAGGGUGACCGGUCACAUUGGGACUGAGCUACGGCCCAGACUCCUACGGGAGGCCGCAGUGGGGAAUAUUGCACAAUGGGCGAUAGCCUGAUGCCGCGUCGCCGCGUGAGGGCUGGAGGCCUUCGGGUUGUAAACCUCUUUCGCUCAUGGUCCAGCCGCAACAUUGGUUGUGGUGAGGGUAGUGGGUAAAGAAGCGCCGGCUAACUACGUG
rnacentral:rRNA from 1 species